AAAAUUUAACUACUCUUUUGCUCAUUCAGAACUUUUAACUCCAUGCCCAUUGCCAUUUUUUCUACCUCAACCUCGACUCUUAAAUGCCCAAAUUUGGAACCCUAGAUUUUUCUCUGCAGAACUUUUCUUAAUCCUUAUUCCAUCUUUGAUUUCGAGAAGCGUAAGUGGCAGCGUCCAGACGGUAAACACCACUGCCACAGCCAUCGUUUCCGCCGAGUCCUCAUUCCAUCCCUGAGUCUUCAAUUGUUUUAACUAUUCCAAUCUCUGAGGCCAACUGCUUCAAUCUCUUCUAUCAAGUCUAUUUACCCUCUCUCUGAUCACUACUAUGGAGGUGAUCAUCCGCGAUACGGAUCUACACUAGCUUCCCACAAAGGCAUGGGCACCUCGUUCGCAAGGGCACCGGUGGCCGAUCUUCCGUCAGUGGCAUUAUAGCUACUGUUUCCGGCGCUACUGGAUUCCUUGGUCGUUAUCUUGUGCAACAACUGGCUAAAAUGUGAUCUCAGGUGUUAGUUCCCUUCAGAGGCUCCGAGGAUAACCCUCAUCAUAUCAAGUUGAUGGGAGGUUUAAGACAGUGCCAAUGAAAUACGAUCCGAGGGAUGAAAAUUCAAUCAAGGCUGUGAUGGAAAAAGGCUAUUGUUGUUAUCAAUCUCAUUGGAAGAGAGUAUGAGACAAGAAACUUUAACUUUGAGGAAGUGAACCAUUUCAUGGCAGAACAACUGGCGAUGCUUCCAGUAUUUUACAAACAAAGAGAUAAUCUAUUUCAUCCUGCAUGGAUAUGGUCCGUCAUCAGUUGGAGUAUUUGUGCACCUUACUCUGCUAUUGAAGCUGGAGUAUGGUCUGGUGUUUUAUAUACACUGUUGGUUUUGCCCUUUCUGCUGGGAGAUUUUUCCGCUUCACGUUCACCCAAUUUGUAUUACACCAAAUGGCAAUUAGUCUAUUUUGAAUGUUGGCUUCCCUUGCUCGAGAUUUGGUCGUUGCAAAUACCUUUGGGUCAGCUUCACUUGUAUUUUUGUUGGGUGGAUUUGUUAUACCUAAAGGUAUGACCAAGGUGCUUAUUAGAGCCUGUUUUUGAGGUUUGAGUUUUUGUUGGUUGCAUGGUCCAGGAUUAGCUGAAUUCAUGCAUAAUGACGACUUGUUUGAGCUAACUGCUGAUCUUAAAGUGUGCAUUCUAUCAUUAUUUUGUUCUAUUUGUAUUUUGUUAGAUUUCUGGUGUAAUAUGAUAUGUGUGGUAUUUUGUUUGAUUGUUAUUGAUAAACUUUCUAUUUGGUGGCAUAUAUAUUUAUAUCAUAGAUAUUAUUCUUCUCAAUAUUUUGAUAAUGAAUUUUAUUUUUUUAUA